AUUGAACGCUGGCGGCAGGCCUAACACAUGCAAGUCGAGCGAGCGGCGGACGGGUGAGUAAUGUAUGGGGACUGCCCGAUAGAGGGGGAGAACUACUGGAAACGGUGGCUAAUACCGCAUACUAUCGGAUAACCCAUAUGGGAUUAGCUAGUAGGUGAGGUAAUGGCGCACCUAGGCGACGAUGCCUAGCUGGUCUGAGAGGAUGAUCAGCCACACUGUGACUGAGACACUGCCCAGACUCCUACGGAGGCAGCAGUGGGGAAUAUUGCACAAUGGGCGCAAGCCUGAUGCAGCCCUGCCGCGUGUGUGAAGAAGGCCUUAGGGUUGUAAAGUACUUUCAGUCGGGAGGCGUUACCGGCAGAAGAAGCACCGGCUAACUCCGUGCCAGCAGCCGCGGUAAUAC
rnacentral:rRNA from 1 species